AUUGGCACAGUGAAUGGCAGCUGAAAAAUUUUGACCGUUGUUUCUGGAAGUGGAAUGUUAGGAUGUAUUUGCACAAUAUCAACCAGAAACAUUACCUCCAUUUUAAAGUAUAUGUUAUUGAAUCCAUUCAUUCCCACUUGGGCAUUUUCAAGCAUACUAGUUGUUGAGUGUUAUGUCGGACUGUAAACACACAAGCAAAGCUUUUAUGAAGUGCCACAGAGAUUAUCACUCAAAGAAUGGGUGCAGGCCAACCACCAACACAGGAUAUUAAAAGAACAAUGAAAAUGAAGAUUUAACUAUAAGGAAAAAUCUAUGUAAUGUUAUUACUCAUAGCACUUAGUUGUUUCAUAUUAUUGUAAAUUUAUGUGAAUAUUCCUGUAUUCUGUUUAUUUUGCAGCUUAUGUUAUUGUAAAUUCAUGUAUAUGUUUUCAUUUUUUUUUGCUCUGUUAUGCAUUUCAUACAAUAAUUGUUUGUUGUACAUAUUAAUUAUAUU